rnacentral:rRNA from 1 species
ACGAACGCUGGCGGCGUGCCUAAUACAUGCAAGUCGAACGGCUUUUCUAUGGAAGCUUGCUUCCACUGAGAAGAUAGUGGCGAACGGGUGAGUAACACGUGGGUAACCUGCCCAUAAGAGGGGGAUAACAUCCGGAAACGGGUGCUAAUACCGCAUAGUUUUUCUUGAUCGCAUGAUUGAGAAAGGAAAGACGGCCUUUGUGCUGUCGCUUAUGGAUGGACCCGCGGCGUAUUAGUUAGUUGGUGAGGUAAUGGCUCACCAAGACGAUGAUACGUAGCCGACCUGAGAGGGUGAUCGGCCACAUUGGGACUGAGACACGGCCCAAACUCCUACGGGAGGCAGCAGUAGGGAAUCUUCCGCAAUGGACGAAAGUCUGACGGAGCAACGCCGCGUGAGUGAAGAAGGUUUUUCCGGAUCGUAAAACUCUGUUGUCAGAGAAGAACAAGUUGGAGAGUAACUGCUCCAGCCUUGACGGUAUCUGACCAGAAAGCCACGGCUAACUACGUGCCAGCAGCUGC